UCACACCAGUGCCAGCGUCCGCCCCGAGCAGUCGUACAGAAGCAACUGCCUGUGCAGCCGCUGCACUGCGUUGCUCUUUCCUCUCUGUCUCCGCGAGCGCGACGUUGCGUUUCGUCAACAGUGCUUCACGUCCCCGCCUAAUCGUGAACAGUGCUACCGACUCUUCUCAGUGCAACGGUGCAAAAGAUAGUCGCAGUGUUGGAUUACAGUGCCCCCAGUCGACGCCAAGAAGCUUACCGAGUGCCUGGUAAGGCCGCCGGCUACAUUUUCCGGCGCUGCGCUGGAGGCGUGUUUGGUGUACGAGGGACGACUGCAGAGCUUCGAGUGAUAGUUCGUCGCCGACUAGUACUUGCAGAGGACUGUCACAGGUGGCAGACCGGCGUAGGCGUGGACGGCGCGGCAGGUUGGCAGCGCUAGUGCGCGUGCGCGCAGAGGGGGCGUGUCGCGAGUUGUGCUGUGGCGGCUCGUCUGCUCCGCGGCUUCAGCAGCGGCCGGCGGUCGCCCGCGGCGCUUCUGGACGCUCCACGGAAGGACACCCGCGCUCGCCAAAAAGGCGCAUGGCAUGAGCGCGGCGCGGUAACCAUGGCGGGCGCAGGACGGCGCCUGAGCGAGAUCGCGCGCUAGCGAUGGAGCUGUUCCGCGGGGCGGCGGGCCCGGACGGCGCGCUGC